rnacentral:rRNA from 1 species
AGGACGAACGCUGGCGGCGUGCUUAACACAUGCAAGUCGAACGGUGAAGCCUUUCGGGGUGGAUCAGUGGCGAACGGGUGAGUAACACGUGAGCAAUCUGCCCUUGACUCUGGGAUAACUUCGGGAAACCGGAGCUAAUACCGGAUAUGACGCAUGGCCGCAUGGUCUGUGUGUGGAAAGAUUUAUUGGUCAGGGAUGAGCUCGCGGCCUAUCAACUUGUUGGUGGGGUAAUGGCCUACCAAGGCGACGACGGGUA